rnacentral:rRNA from 1 species
AACGCGAAGAACCUUACCUGACCUUGACAUCUGUCGAAUCCUGCAGAGAUGUGGGAGUGCCUUCGGGAACGACAGGACAGGUGCUGCAUGGCUGUCGUCAGCUCGUGUCGUGGGAUGUUGGGUUAAGUCCCGCAACGAGCGCAACCCUUGUCCUUAGUUGCCAUCAUUCAGUUGGGAACUCUAAGGAGACCGCCGGCGACAAGCCGGAGGAAGGUGGGGAUGACGUCAAGUCAUCAUGGCCUUUAUGGCCAGGGCUACACACGUGCUACAAUGGUAGGUACAGAGGGAAGCCAACGCGCGAGCGGGAGCCAAUCCCAGAAAUCCUAUCGUAGUCCGGAUCGGAGUCUGCAACUCGACUCUGUGAAGUUGGAAUCGCUAGUAAUCGCAGAUCAGCAUUGCUGCGGUGAAUACGUUCCCGGGUCUUGUACACACCG